AUGAGCGCUGACAGAAUGCUUAACCCAUGCAAGUCGAUGGGGAAGUGGUGCUUGCACCAUGGUAACCAUGGCGGACGGGUGAGUAACGCGUAAGGAACUUGCCUGCGGGACUGGGAUAACAGCAGGAAACUGCUGAUAAUACCGGAUAAGGUCAUUAAGCUGCAUAGCUUAGUGAUGAAAGGAGACGCCUGCGGAGAGCCUUGCGUCCUAUUAGCUAGUUGGAGGGGUAACGGCCCACCAAGGCGAAGAUAGGUAGCCGGCCUGAGAGGGUGGACGGCCACAAGGGGACUGAGAUACGGCCCUUACUCCUACGGGAGGCAGCAGUGGGGAAUAUUGGACAAUGGGGGCAACCCUGAUCCAGCAAUUCUGUGUGCACGAAGACGGUUUUCGGAUUGUAAAGUGCUUUCAGCAGGGAAGAAGGAAGUGACGGUACCUGCAGAAGAAGCGACAGCUAAAUACGUG
rnacentral:rRNA from 1 species